UAGGGGUUAGACAGCUAGGGGAGAGGCGAACGGAGGAGGAGAGGGCCCAGCGGCGCGACGGCUGAGUCGGCGAAGAGGACGCGGAAGAGGAGGGGCGAGGGGUCUAGCCGCAGGUCGCGUCCUCCUAGGCCCACCAGUACCACCGCCGUACAAGUCGCCGGAGCGGCCUAACAAUCGGAGGAGUUAGGGGAGCGUGUCCGCGGCGGCGGUUCGGACGGGAGCUGGCACCGCGGCGGCCGCAGUGAGGACAGCGAGCACGGCGGUGGCGGUGGCCGGGAGCGUGUCGGCGUCGACGUACGAGAGGAGACGACGGGGUCGCGGGGCUCGUAGUGGGGCAGCUUAUCCGCGAGGGGUGCAAUCGCGGAAGAGGUACCUAGUCAGUGACUGCCGGUAGUUGCGGCCACUGGGUUAGGUAUCCUUCCAUUGGGUCCCCUAAUUAGAAGGUGGCGGCGGCGGCUCCCCCCGGGACAAAAAGGUACGUACAGGAGACUGGGUAAUAGGACGUAUCGGCGGUCGGCAGCGGCUCCUGUCUCUUCCAGGCCACAGAUCUUGGCAGCGAUGGAUAGGACGGUUCGAAGAGCGGGCCCUGCUCAUAGGGAGGGUCGGUGGACGCGGUGGUAGGCGGAGACCGUUAAAGCAUACGCACAUCCGCUGUCACCUUGUUUAAGUCUGUCAGUUAAUAGGCAGGCAGUCUUAUGAGUCCAUAAACCGUUAUAACCGAGAACCCUACGGGUUAACUAGUGACUUCGACCACCGUUCCACCAGAGGUAGUCUCUACAGUGUCCCCGACAGUUCUUGAGGUUACCGUAACUGUAUCGGUUCGACUACUUCGUGAGCCGUCUCUUGGCGCCCUAGUUCCCGAAACUGCCUCCGCUGCGGCAACUGGGCUGGAGCGACGAGUGCCUUCUCACGCUACACGUGUAGGGCCUUCGAGACCCUCCUCAGUAUUUGUUCCUGUUACGACUACGGUAUUUUCGUUUCAUGUAGUAGCUCCGACAAUUGGUGGGUUGUCUGGGACUCCGGCUGCUCUAAGACCGUUUCUUCCCGCACGACCAGGAUGGCCUGUAGUACCGGUUGAGGCCACCUCACUAUCACUCGACGAAGCUCACCCGGCGACCCGCAGGUUCUCCGUGAACUGGAACGACCUAGUGCGACAGUAGCCGCAUUAGGUCCGGCCUAGACACCUCUCGGGCCGCGUCGUGGCAGUGUCUAACUAUUCCCGGCCUCGAAGUUACUGUUUAGGUGAUAUAAGUCGUGUGUCGGGUUGAGUCGUCCGUGCUCGGUACAGCUGUCAGCCCCACCGUGAGCUCACGUACGAGCGGAACUGUCAGUAGUUCCAGCGUUAUCUCAGCCACCUCCAACACGAGCCGCUGCGACUCUCUCUCAGAUAGUUCGUAUUCAGGUACAACAACACCGACUUCGCUGAAUACCUACGGCUGUACGAACUUCUAAAACUUCUACUUUGGCUGGAGUUGGACACCCGUCGGUGACACUUCUUCUAAUUCUACGGUGUAUUGUACUCUAGCUACGUUUUCGCGUAUCUUUUCUAUUUUCUCCUGGCACUCCUGGCCGUUCCAGGGCUGUAGGUCCUAUGUCGUCCUAUACACCUCCUCCGUCUUUAGUAGACCUCCUGACUACUAACGUAUAUAACCUCGUCGUCAAUAAAGGGGGAGGAAAACUGAUGUCACCAACCUCAGUCAUCCAUCACUAAUCUCAUUCAUCCUCUCCGACCGUAAACUGUUAUGCCAAGACACACACGUAACUAACGACCACGACGUUGGACAUUAAAGGAACACCUCACCUGGCUUCAUUAGGUAGUUCGAUCGACGUAAUAACUAAGACAAGGAAAACGACCGCUCCAGAGGUUGAUGGGAAAACUCCAGAGGUUGAAGCAGGAGGUCGAACCUGUUGGAUCCACAAGAUUGGCACUACGCUUAUCCACCUACUUCUCCUUCGUCAUGGCGGCAUAACUUGUCCGGUCCUCCCACGACCGGCAACCGAGACUAGGGGACCCACCGACCCACACCGACCGCCGAGGUUAGCGCGGCCAGUCCUCCCACAGCAACCUCUCUCAAGCUGCGGCCGCUGCUCGUAUGUCUCUUGUUCGUCACUGCAGCAUAAGGCGUCUGGCCUACCCGCCAGCGGCCGCCGAGGCAAGGGCACCCACUCCUGCCGCCGAGGCAAUGGCGGCCACUUGUCCCGCCGCCGAGACAAUGUCGGCCACUUGUCCCGUCGGCGCAAGCUACCCUGACUGUGACCUCUUCCAGCGCACACUCUUCCGUGGACCUUACCUUAUACUCACGUCUUAGUCGUAACCUC
rnacentral:rRNA from 1 species